AUGCCUGAGUGCUUUCACAAAACUGAUCAAUCUUUGAUCAAUGAAUUUCACAAAAUGCUGCUCUUCAACAAAGUUUCAGAUAAGAGAUUUGCCAUGUAUCAAACUGCUGUUGCAAGGUUUGUACUUGACAUGCAGAUCUAUAAGAAUGCAGAUGAAGUUCUAGAAUUCUAUGUGAACUCUGAUGAUCUGUUGUCACAGCAAGAUGUGGCAUUCAAUCAUAGCAGCAUUUCAGAAAGCACAUUUUCACAUCCUGCUAUUACAUCAGUGUCAUCCUCACUGAGCCAAGAUCUUGGUACGUUAUUUGAGUCAGCUGAUAAUGUAGGCAAAGAUGAGGAAGUGAAUGGUUUCAUUGAAGUGUU
rnacentral:sRNA from 1 species